ACUUCCGGUGACGCCGGAGGUCAGAGGUGACAGGCAAGAUGUCGGUGGCUAGGCGCUUGGAGCAGUUGCGGAGUAGAGCCUCCGUGUGACUGAAGUUCCGCGGCGGCUGGCCGGCCGGAGCCGGAGCUAAGGAGCCGUUCGAGGCGGCGGCGAUCCGGCCGCGGGGCGUGACUUUGGGGACCGUGAGGGGUUGGGAAGCGCCGGGUCCCCGGGACCUGGAAUGCCUCGCAGCCCCCAGUGAAGCCGGGAAGUCCAGCUCCGCGGGACCGCUUCAUGCCGCCGACUGGUUUAGAGCCCACCAGAAUGAACAGGAAGAAAGGAGACAAGGGUUUUGAAAGCCCAAGGCCGUAUAAAUUAACCCAUCAGGUCGUCUGCAUCAACAACAUAAACUUCCAGAGAAAAUCCGUUGUGGGAUUUGUGGAACUGACUAUAUUUCCUACAGUCACAAACUUGAACAGAAUCAAGUUGAACAGUAAACAGUGUAGAAUAUAUCGAGUAAGGGUCAACGAUUUGGAAGCUGCUUUUAUUUAUAAUGAUCCAACCUUGGAAGUUUGUCACAAUGAAUCAAAACAGAGAAAUCUCAAUUAUUUUUCCAAUGCUUAUGCAGCUGCGGUUAGUGCUGUGGAUCCUGAUGCAGGAAAUGGAGAACUUUGCAUUAAGGUUCCGUCAGAACUGUGGAAACAUGUUGAUGAGUUAAAAGUCCUGAAGAUACACAUUAAUUUUUCUUUGGAUCAACCAAAAGGAGGUCUUCAUUUUGUGGUACCCAGCAUAGAGGGAAGUAUGGCAGAGAGAGGUGCUCAUGUUUUCUCUUGUGGGUAUCAAAAUUCCACAAGAUUUUGGUUCCCAUGUGUUGAUUCAUACUCUGAACUGUGUACAUGGAAAUUAGAAUUCACAGUAGAUGCUGCAAUGGUGGCUGUUUCCAAUGGAGAUCUGGUGGAGACAGUAUAUACCCACGAUAUGAGGAAGAAGACCUUCCAUUAUAUGCUCACCAUUCCUACAGCAGCAUCAAAUAUUUCCUUGGCCAUUGGACCUUUUGAAAUACUUGUAGAUCCAUAUAUGCAUGAGGUUACUCAUUUUUGUUUACCACAACUUCUUCCACUGCUUAAACAUACAACAUCAUAUCUUCAUGAAGUCUUUGAAUUUUACGAAGAAAUUCUUACAUGUCGAUACCCAUAUUCCUGUUUUAAGACCGUGUUCAUUGAUGAGGCUUAUGUUGAAGUGGCUGCUUAUGCUUCCAUGAGCAUUUUCAGUACAAAUCUUUUACACAGUGCCAUGAUUAUAGAUGAGACACCUUUGACUAGAAGGUGUUUAGCUCAGUCCUUGGCUCAGCAGUUUUUCGGAUGUUUCAUAUCUAGAAUGUCUUGGUCUGAUGAAUGGGUGCUAAAAGGGAUUUCAGGAUAUAUUUAUGGACUUUGGAUGAAAAAAACUUUUGGUGUUAAUGAGUACCGCCAUUGGAUUAAAGAGGAACUAGACAGAAUAGUGGCGUAUGAACUGAAAACUGGUGGAGUUUUACUACAUCCCAUAUUUGGUGGCGGAAAAGAAAAGGAUAAUCCAGCAUCCCAUCUACAUUUUUCAAUCAAGCAUCCACAUACAUUGUCCUGGGAAUAUUAUACUAUGUUUCAGUGUAAAGCUCACCUUGUGAUGAGAUUGAUUGAAAAUAGAAUCAGUAUGGAAUUCAUGCUACAAGUUUUCAAUAAACUGCUAAGUCUAGCCAGCACUGCUUCAUCUCAGAAGUUCCAGUCACAUAUGUGGAGUCAGAUGUUGGUUUCCACAUCUGGGUUUUUGAAAUCCAUUUCAAAUGUCUCUGGCAAAGACAUCCAGCCUUUAAUAAAGCAGUGGGUAGACCAGAGUGGGGUGGUAAAAUUUUAUGGAAGUUUUGCAUUUAACAGAAAACGAAAUGUCUUGGAAUUGGAAAUAAAGCAAGAUUAUACAUCUCCUGGAACUCAGAAAUAUGUGGGACCACUUAAAGUGACAGUGCAGGAAUUAGACGGAUCCUUUAAUCAUACAUUGCAAAUAGAAGAAAACAGCCUUAAGCAUGAUAUUCCCUGCCAUUCUAAAAGCAGAAGGAAUAAGAAAAAAAAGAUCCCACUGAUGAAUGGAGAAGAAGUGGACAUGGAUCUUUCUGCAAUGGAUGCUGAUUCCCCUUUGCUGUGGAUAAGGAUAGAUCCAGAUAUGUCAGUAUUAAGGAAGGUAGAAUUUGAGCAGGCUGAUUUUAUGUGGCAGUAUCAACUCCGCUAUGAGAGGGAUGUUGUUGCUCAGCAGGAAUCCAUAUUGGCCUUGGAAAAAUUUCCCACUCCAGCAUCUCGGCUUGCACUCACUGACAUAUUAGAACAAGAGCAGUGUUUCUACCGAGUAAGAAUGUCAGCUUGCUUCUGCCUUGCAAAGAUUGCAAAUUCAAUGGUGAGCACAUGGACAGGACCACCAGCCAUGAAGUCACUGUUUACUAGAAUGUUUUGUUGCAAAACUUGUCCAAACAUUGUGAAAACAAACAACUUUAUGAGCUUUCAAAGUUACUUUCUACAGAAGACUAUGCCAGUUGCAAUGGCUUUAUUAAGAGAUGUUCAUAACCUUUGUCCCAAAGAAGUCUUAACAUUUAUUUUAGACUUGAUCAAAUAUAAUGACAACAGAAAAAACAAGUUUUCAGAUAAUUAUUACCGUGCAGAAAUGAUUGAUGCCCUGGCCAACUCUGUUACUCCUGCAGUUAGUGUGAAUAAUGAGGUUAGAACUUUGGAUAACCUCAAUCCUGAUGUGAGACUCAUUCUUGAAGAAAUCACUAGGUUUCUGAAUAUGGAAAAACUUCUCCCAAGUUAUAGACAUACCAUCACUGUCAGUUGUUUGAGAGCCAUACGGGUGCUUCAGAAGAAUGGACAUGUGCCAAGUGAUCCAGCUCUUUUUAAAUCUUAUGCUGAAUAUGGCCACUUUGUGGAUAUUAGGAUAGCAGCUUUAGAAGCAGUUGUUGAUUAUACUAAAGUGGACAGGAGUUAUGAAGAACUGCAAUGGCUACUUAAUAUGAUUCAGACCGAUCCUGUACCCUAUGUAAGGCACAAAAUUCUGAACAUGUUGACUAAGAACCCUCCAUUUACAAAGAACAUGGAGUCUCCCUUAUGCAAUGAGGCCCUGGUGGAUCAACUUUGGAAACUCAUGAAUUCUGGUACUUCACAUGACUGGAGGUUGCGAUGUGGUGCUGUGGACUUGUACUUCACUCUGUUUGGCCUUAGUAGACCUUCGUGUUUACCCUUGCCAGAGCUUGGAUUGGUUCUUAAUCUAAAGGAGAAAAAAGCUGUUCUGAAUCCUACCAUUAUUCCAGAGGCCAUAGCAGGCACCCAGGAAACUACAAGUAAUCCAGGCAGCCAUGCACAACUGGUUGCAUUUCAGAAUCCUUUUUCAAAUUCUCAAGAUGAAGAGGAAAUUGAUAUGGAUACUGUUCAUGAUAGCCAGGCCUUCAUUUCUCAUCAUCUGAACAUGCUUGAAAGGCCAUCCACUCCAGGGCUCUCUAAGUAUCGGCCAACUACCUCCCGGUCUUUAACAUCCCAGCAUUCAUCAGGCUGUGAUGGCACACCCUCCACAAAACCCCAGUGGAGUAUGGAACUUGCACGGAAGGGAACAGGUAAAGAACAAGCGCCUUUGGAAAUGAGCAUGCAUCCAGUGGCAGCAGCUCCGCUCUCGGUGUUUGCUAAGGAGUCUGCAUCCUCCAAACACAGUGAGCACCAUCACCACCAUCACCACGAGCACAAGAAAAAGAAGAAGAAGCACAAGCACAAGCACAAGCACAAGCACAAGCAUGACAGCAAAGACAAGGACAAGGAGCCCUUCGCUUUCUCCAGCCCUGCCAGCGGCAGAAUUAUAUUCUUCAUCCAGCUAUAAUCCAUGUGAAAUUUAUUUUGAUAAAAGGAAUCCCUGACAGUUGUCUACUUUGUGGUGUUUAGUUAAACCCAGGUGUAUGAGACAACAAAAUGGAGGACUAUAAUAAAAUGGUUAGUAAGUUCCUGUCCUCAAGGAUCACACCACCCAGAAUUCAUUCUUCUUCAUUGUACAAGGGACUUUGAAAAAAUAAAUGGAAAAUGUAAUUAACAUCAGGAAAAUGUUCUGCGAACAUUUUGAAGGCCCCUUGUAUGGGCUCACCAUAGUUCUGAGGUAUUACUGUGUUUGACAUUUACUGCUGGAAUAUUUGGAACAUUGGUUAAAUGUACACUGAUGUGUGUUCACUUAAGUGACAUUUUUAUCUAGACUGGUACAGUAAUUACAAGUUUGCAUGCCCCUGUAUAGAUUGUGCAACUUUUGUACAAAGAUGAGUGGCAUAAAAUUUCAUUUUCUUACAAGCAUGGAAAAAUAGCCUCUACCGGACUUUUUUCCCCCAAAAUAUUUGGGAGAGCUGGUUGCCUAUAGCAGAUCUUCUGUAUACAUAUCUGUUAGGUAUUGUAAAUACAGUAGAGAAUGAAGAAAGGACCCAGCAAAUUAGAUGAGCCCAAAAGGUUAACAAGUUUUGUUAUUUGUCAAGAUAAACUUUUAUCUCAAAACAUGUUACAUGGGUGUGACAGUCUUUCUCAUUUGAUUGUGAGUCACUGAGCACAGGGGUCAUGUUGUUGUCCUGUUUGUGAUACUUGUUCUCCCUUAGACAUCUGUGCCACUACGAGACACUUUUUGUGCUUAAUGGGGACUCUGUUUUUAUUGAAUUGAAGAUGAAGGAGGAAGGUGAUUUUAUCAGACAGAGUAAAUAAUAUUUUAGAGAGAUUAUGGGUUUGGAAAGCAGGGAACAUGCUGUGUCUGUCCUGACUUUGUGAGUACCUAGUGUUUUGACCUGAAUAAAUCACCUAACCUCACUGGGGCCAGUUUCCUUGAAAAAUGAAAACCUUAUUGCAGGGUUUCUUGCCAGCUGCCAAACACCUUUGAUUAUUCUGUUACCACUAUGUUGUAAGUACAUAGAGAAUGUUUCAUGUUGUAUAGGAGAAUCUAGGUUAUACAAAUUUUCAUUUUAGUUUUUAAACAUAUGCAGCCUUGAUUUUAUCUGAAUUUUCUAAAAAGACAGAUUUCAGCCUCGGACCCUCUGUGUAUACUCUGAGCGUGUGUAUAAGGUACUGUGUAGUUAGACAUUGUGUGAGCGUGAGCGUUUUUACUUGACUGUGAACUAUUUUUUUUUUGUUACCUCUUUGGACAGAUCUAUUUUUCCCUUCAAGACCAGUUCACAGUGAUGCUCAUCAGCUGUUAUGAUUUGCUUUUAGAACUUUUACAGACUCCUCAGUCAUCAAAGCUCACACCAAGCCAGUAGAUGCCUGCUGAGAGGGAGGGAGAUCUGUGGAGAAUGUAAGGCCCUUGUCUACAAAGAGGAUAUGUUCUAGCACUAGAGAUACGAUGUCUAUAUGAAUAGCGUCAAUAGGAACUUGAACACUUAGUUUAAAAUCAAUAUGAAACUAACGAGAUAGCUUAAGGCAGACCAUGCUGGAAGCAGGGGAAGCCUACUCAAGUUCUCUGCUCCAAUUACAAAUGCACUCUAAAAGUUUCUAUUAAAGAUUGUUUAAUUGCAUGGAUCUUGAAAAUUCUAGGUCCUACCUAUAGUCCUCUUGUCCUUGAAAUCCAGUGCCUGGAAUGUUUAUCGAGGACUGAGAGAAAAUGUUAAGACUGACUGUGAUUCCCAAAUACUAAUCUAUCCAUCUCAAAUGAGAAAAGUGAGGGACUGGAAUUCUGAUAAAAAUUCAUCUCAUGUAAAUACUUCCUUUAAUCUCAAGGAUAAUUAUAUCUGUCCUACUUGUUUGAUGUUAAAAACUUUUUAUGAAAUGAUGAUAGUGGUAGGUGGUUGGUUGUUGUGAUUGUUAUGUUAAUGUUCUUACUUGGCAAAGUAACAUUUGAUAAUCCUUAAAUUCCCCAAGUUUUGCAACCACUGCUAUCAGGCUUUGUAAGACAUGGUGUGUGUCUUCAUGGAGCUUAUCUUCUGCUCUUUCACCCUCUGGGAGGAAGUCAAGUUGGUAAUACUCUUCUGAAUUUAUGAUUGAGCAAGCAGACUUGGAACCAUGUGUUCUGCAUUUUCUAUUAAUGUAGUACAGGCUUGUCUUGGCAUUGAUGAAAAAUCUGCUGUCCAGACACCUCUGUACACAGUAAUUAUAUGCAUGGAGCUGUUCUGUAUGAAGUCAUCAGAUCUCAUGUGUUCCUUACACCUUGCAAAUAUGGAGCUAAAUCUUUUCAUGCAGUGGUGGGGAGGCAUUAUUCUUUAAGUGUUGUGGUAUUAAUUAGUAAUGGUAGGCUUCUAAAGCAAAAAAUAGAGACAUCUAUUUUCCUGGCGAAAGCUUCUAACGUCUUGAGUAUCUUGCUUUGAGGGGAUAGUUCACACAUCAGGUUUUGAUUCUUAGGCAGUUAUUUUCCAUUCUGAGAGAGCCAACUAUUACCCUAAAAGGUCAGUAUUUGGUUUCCAUGAUUAAUCAGACACUUGAGCUUCAUGGCUAUGUGCUGUUCCAUGCAGUUUUCUGUGUAAUACAGGUAUCUUUUUGCUGCAUCCUAGGUGGCUGUCUGGUGAUCCAGAAGACUCAGCAGUAGAGUUGAUUAUUUCUUCACUUCUUAGUCCACUGACUCCCACAGGGACUCCAACUAAGGCAUACCUUAGCAUUUCUCUGAAGGAAAAAAAAAAUGUGUAAGUCUUAAAUAGACUAUGAAAAACAAUUCAUAAGCAAUGGUAUCUUUGAAAAGCUUCUACCCAGAUGUCCUAAUGACUCUAUGAGUUUUUAGUUCUUGGGCUUUGAAGUGCCUUUGAAUCUUAUCUCUUUUGUGUGGAACAGUGUGAUUUGGAGUAAGUUGCUUAACUUCUUUAUUUGCAAAAGGGAACAGUUCACAUUUGAUGGCACUGGAUGAGAACCCGGACCUUAUUGAGAACUUAGCCAGAAUUCUCUCCAUUCUCCUAAUUUGAUGAUGUUGUAUGGCAAACACUGUUUAGAUGUUUACCCAACAAUCUCAUUCUUCCUUCCCUUGCUAAUAGAAUCCUAAUUAGUGUGAGAGAUAAUGUUUCUCCUACAUACACUUUGAGUGGCUGUAUUUAACGUAGCUCCGAUUGUGGAGACAAAAGAGGAAAUCUGCUGAGGUCCUGUCUUUGCUUUACUGACCAAAAGAGGACUCCAUGGCUGGCACCCAAUUCUCUCUUGCUGCCCUGCACACUGAUAUGAUAUCCAGAUAUCCAGACUGCAGCAGCCACGCUGUGCUCCUGAAGAAAAGGCUGAAAAGAUCAGAUGCCAUCUCUGACCUUGUGAAAAUGCCAACCCAGCGUCUACAUUCACUAUUUUUCAGGCUUUCAAUUGUGGACAAAUAAACCCUUACUUAUGCCUUUCUAUUCCCUUACUUGGCAAUUGAACACAUUCUUACCUGCUAUAUUAAGUAUUGUUAUUAUCCUUAAUCUCCAGAUGAAGAAAUUUUGGCCCAAUGAUGCUAAAUAAUUUGUCUGUUUUAUAAAGUUGGUCAGCAAUGGGAUUGGGUUUCAGAUCCCACAAGCCUGAAUUUAGAACUUGAGCUCUUAGCCAGUUACCUUAUGAUGUUUAGGGUAUGAAAUGAAAUUACUUAUAAAAAGCACUUUAGCAUUAACAUGGUACCUGGCAUGUAGGUAAUAUAUAUCAAAAUAUUAAGAGCUUUGUCAUAAUCUCAGCUGCAGGUUAGUGCUUACCAAUGGCCUCAGGUUUUGAUUUUCAUUCAGUUAUUUUCCAUUCUGAGGAGAGCCAAUUUUUAUUAUAAAAGGUUGUCAUUUGGUUUCCAUGCUCAAUUAAAUAAUUGUACUUAAUGGUUAUGGAAGGUACUCAGCAAAUUUUUUGACUGAGUGAUUGAAUAAUUCUGUUAAAAUUUCCCAGCUAUCACUUUUAGAAGGUCACUGUAUGCAUUUUGGAUAGGGAGCUAAAAUUUUAUAAAAUAAAUAACAUAGUACAGGGUUCAGUAGAAACUUGGCUGCCUCUUCAAAUCCAGCCUCCAUUCCUGACUGAUGGGCAAUAUGAUGUUGCACAAAUGACUUACUCUCUCAGUACCUAGUUUCUUUAUCUGUAAAGUGGAAAUAAUAAUAAUCUGAAUUAGCCAAGAGUAGUAUUGUUACAAUUAAUUAAAAUUAUAUGCUUAAAGGUUUUAAAAGGCACUGCUGGAGCCCUAAAUAAAUGUUAACUUUUAUAGCAAUAACUAUUACAAGUCUUUACUUAUUUAUUUGUACUCUACCAAAAUGAUUCCAGUGAAUGAUGCCAAGUCAAAAAACAAGAUUCAGGUAGAUGCGGUAAGUGAAAUGUGAAUCCAUGGUGACUUAGCUCUGUUCAAAUAUAGAAAGAUAAAAAAAAAAAAAAAAAAAAACACACACACACACACACACACAAAAACUUAGGUGUACUAGCUUAGUAGAGAGUGCCCUUGUGCAAAUGGUUUUCCAUUUCAAACUGUCACUCUGAGUCUCAGCAGUUAAUUUUCAAAACUAAAAAUAAAAAAAAAAGUGUCCUCUUACUUUGAAAAUUAUAAAAUUUCUCUCCUACCUAAUCCCCUCUCUUAGUUUCUCUUUUCACAUUUGCACAUAAACUUGUUUAUUUGAGAGGAAUCAAGCCAACUUGAUCAGGAAUGGAUAAUGUCAGCUCUACCUUACUGGCAGCUAAAAAAUGAAGCAGCUAUUAAUGACAAGGAAAACUAGCAAUUAUGUUAACUUAUGGAAUUCAACUUUUAAGACAGGAUUAUAAUUUAUGGAAAGGUGUGAAGAGAUCUGUAGAUUCAUUCCCCAGAGAAACAACUGUGAUUGGUGAGAACUAUAAAAACAGAACUGUUUAAAAUCUUUGGAAAUUGUCCUAAGAACAUACUGCAAAUAUUUACUUUAAAAAAUCUACUAAAUAUAGAAGAACUAUAAUGGCAGUUAGUAGCACUUGAACCAUGACUUCCUCCUCCCUCCAUCUACCCCCCCACACACCCCUGCCAAAUUUAGUGGAAGCUCCACUCCAGGCAUAUGUGGCCAAAAAGAUCUUCCAUUCAUCUCAGCUCUUAAGGAAUACAGUAUCUCACCAGCAGGGACAAGUAAACAACAUUUACACUUCUCUCCAACUUUAAUUUUUAGAAAUCAUCAUUUUCUGGUGAAUAUAGCAAAAUAUUAGGGGCCCAACCCCAAUUCACUGAGAGGAUAUUGCCUUAACCUAGGGUCAGGAAGAGUUGUCACUCUAAGAGAUGCAGGCCACUGUCUCUGUCAAGACCAGAAAGGCUCAGAGAUUUUGCCCAAGGGAGAAGAUACAGCUGAUAAGACCAGAGGAUUCCAUAUUCUUUCCCAAAGGAACUGUGGCGUGAGGGGAAGUUCAGCCCUAAGCCCGCUCUCUAAAACACUGGAGAUUUGAUGGUAAUAAAAGAGGUUGGUAGUUCUAUGAGAACAAGAUGCUAAACUAUAGGCCAGAUAAUUUACUGGAGAGAAACAGGAAAAUGCCUACUGAGAAUCUUCCUAAAGAACAAGAAAAAGAAACCCUUGGUGACUGACCUCAAAACAAACAAACAAAAACAAAGCAAAUCACAUACACAAAAAAACUUGCCUGAAUUUGUUAGAUGAAACUGUGGACCAGUUCUCAUCCCAGGGCAUUGUUGAAAAGAGUGGACCAAUCAGCAGGCAGUUAGUAGAACCUAUUAGCUGGGUGGGAUAUAAUAAACAGAGAUGAUUAAACAGAUCAAGGAGAGACUGCUAAAGCCACUGUCAUGCUAGGGUGACUGCAGAGGCCAGACACUUCACACUGUGUCUUGUGGGGGGGGGGGGUGACAGGAGGAAUUGGAUUUUAUUAAAAUAGUGUAGCUGAGUUACUAAAUCAAUAAACAAGAAAAAUUAUGUCAGAGUGGAGAGAAAUCUGUAUCCAGACUUGCUAUUUCAUAUUACUUAAAAUGUCCUUAGAGCGACAGAAAA